rnacentral:ncRNA from 1 species
ACAGCGGGCGGCAACUGGCGCUGAACGUGGGGUCUACCACGGGGAAGCCGCCCACGCAAGACUGGAUCGCACGCCUGGGUCGGACGC